UCAUGAAUGUAUAUAUAAUUUCACUAAUCCCUUGAAAGAAACUACAAAAUUUAAAAUAGAACUAAAAUGAUCAACUGUAAAUAGAUGAAAGCAAGUAGAAACAAACAGGACAAAGGUGGCAGCAUAGGAACGUUUGUAAACAGUAUAGUCUUAAUCAGGAGGACACGGAUUAGGUAUUAGUGGACUAUGUGGUAAUGAACACUCCCACGUGCCCACAUACACACGCGUACACACACUUGCAGAACUGAGGCAGGAAAAUAGGGUCUGGAGGCAGGGAACAUAAGGCUGAUUUACACUUCAGCUAUGACAGGAAAUAUCCUCUCCAUAGGGCAGACACCGAGUAAAUGACUGUAACUUUACUUUGUCCUCUCCAUUUACAGCGGGCAUACUCGAAGCAACCAAUGAAAUCCUUUAGGGGGUAUUUUAAACUCCUAAAAAUUCCUUAAUAGGGCCUUUGAGCUCCUAUGCUUGGGCCCUCUCCCACACUGUGGAGUGUACUUUCACUUUCAAUAAAUUCCUUUGUCCCUUCCUUGCUUUGUGCGUUUUGUCCAAUUCUUUGUUCAAGACACCAAGAACCUCGACACGAACCACCUUUAACAUAGUUUGGUGAACCAGCCUGGAGGCAGAGUCAAGCAUGAUCCCUAAGGCUGCUCAGGGAGAGAGAACCUAGAAACCUGGCAUGCUGGCAAAAGGAGACCAUCAAGCUUCAGAUGAUCAUGCAACAAAAGUCCCAGCUAGUUCCAGGUGAAGACAACACACCUGGCCUUCAAAAAGCUACUCUGCCUCCACUAGAGAGAACAGGGCGAGAGUUCCAUGAUCCCCAGUAGGUAAGGACUACACCCCAAGCCAGCAUGAAGCAGUUACAGAAAAAGACGACCAUUGAUCCCUCUGCUUCCUAUAAAGAUUUAUGGAUUUAUGGGGAUCACAUCUGUUGGCGGGAGGGUGGGAAAAGGGGCAGGAAAAUAGGGUCUGGAGGCAAGGAACAUAUAAGGCUGAUUUACACUUCAGCUAUGAGAGGAAAUAUCCUCUCCAUAGGACAUACACAGAGUAAAUAACUUUGUAACUUUACUUCAUCCUCUCCAUUUACAUAGGGCAUACCAGAAAUAACCAGUGGAAUCCUCUAGGGGGUAUUUAAACUCCCAAAAAUUCUGUAACGUGGCCUUGGAGCUCCUAUGCUCAGGUCCGCUCACACACUGUGGAGUGUACUUUCAUUUUCAAUAAAUUCCUUU
rnacentral:lncRNA from 1 species